rnacentral:rRNA from 1 species
CAGGUACANCGGGAAGCCACCUGGCGACAGGGCGCGGAACCCGAAAACCUGUCUCAGUUCGGAUUGGAGUCUGCAACCCGACUCCAUGAAGCUGGAUUCGCUAGUAAUCGCGCAUCAGCCACGGCGCGGUGAAUACGUUCCCGGGCCUUGUACACACCGCCCGUCAAGCCAUGGAAGCCCGGAGUGCCUGAAGUGCGUGACCGCAAGGAGCGUCCUAAGGCAAUACCGGUGACUGGGGCUAAGUCGUAACAAGGUACC